GUGCAGCUGAUGACAGUUUGAAAGAAGGAUGAGCAGGCUCUCUGCCAUCUGCCCACCAACUUUUCAAGUUACUUUUACCCACCUUCAAAAUUACAUCUGCUUUUAGCAAGAAUUACUGAUGUGAUAAAGAUGGGAGUGUUCACCAUGCAAGGGCAGGGGAUCCCCUGCUGCUCCACCAUCAGAUUUGGGACACCACCCCCCCCCCGGCCCCACCAGAGGGCAUCAGCUAUGCCUAGAAGGGGACCACAACAGACUCGACAGGAUCCACCGGUUGGGCCCAAGGCAGGAGGAAGGGCGGCGCCCCCAAACUCCCAGGACGCCUGCAGCACCCCCCACGCGCCGCUCUCCGCCUCUGGGGAGCAUCCUGCCACCCCCCGACACACACACCCCGGCUACAUCCCGCCUUCUCACGCUUGGUCAGGCGCUCUGGAGAUGUCGGAGAUCCAGGCUUUUCCUAAAGAGUCAGGAUUGGAAGGCGGCUCGAAGAGAGGGGCACCUGCUGCUAAGCUGUGUAUGUUGUCCCCUAGGACUCCCACCGUUUGCUGAGCUCCACAUGACAACAGCAGACGACAGGCCGCACUGAUCCCACCUGGCUUACAGGUGCUGUCACACAGGUACGCCUUCUUGUGAAUCAUCAGUCACCAUUUGCCCCUCGCAGCAACCCUGUCUUGGAGGAAGGUCCUUGCCGACACCCGCCUCUCCCCACCCUUAGGCUCCCUUGCUCCUUCAUUCAACCAUUGUUUACAUGUCGUUCAGGACUGCUGACUAAACACUUUCAAGCACAGUGGACCCUUGAACAACGCAGGUUCAAACUGUGCAGGUCCACCCACAGGGAUGUUUUUCAAUCAGAGUUAUACCAAGUGUCCCUGCCUCUCCUGCCUCCCUUCCCACUUCCUCCAUGUCUUCCUCUCUGCCACCCUGAGGCAGCAAGACCAGCCCCUCCUCCUCAGCCACUCAACAUGAAGACAACGAGGAUGAAGACUUCUAUGAUAAUCCACUUCCACUUAGUAAAUGCUUUCUCUUAUGAUAUUCUUAAUGACAUUUUAUUUUCCCAAGCUUAGUUUAUUGUAAGAAUACAGUAUAAAUACACA
ensembl:lncRNA LINC03034 long intergenic non-protein coding RNA 3034